AAAAUAUCCUGAUGGACAUAUUAAAUGACAUUUUUUUAAACAUAAGACCAAAACAUGUUGAUGUAACUGCAGCAUUAAUUAUUAUUAUUAAUAACGUAUAUUCCGUAAAUCUAACUGAGGAAAUAAAGGAAUACGUUAUAAGGUUCAAGUUCCACGCA